UUAGUUGUAUUCACAAGUUUUUAUAUUAAAUGGCUGGCUAAUAUAUAUAUGCAAGGGGAGAAGGAGAAGAAGAAUAUCACAAAAAUCGAUCCAAAUCUCCAUAUUAGCAGCCAUGAGUUCAAUGGGUGUAUUUUGUAAGGAGGAAAUUGGUGGAAAACCGAAUUUGGUAUACACAUUAACACAAACAGACAACCCAACCUCUUCUGGUGAGGCCCUAACCAUGGAUUCUGGUGAGGACGAUCUCCCUCUUCAACCUCUUUUUUUCUGUCCUAUGGGAUAUAAUUAUAUGUCCAUGUAUACUUUCUUAAUUAUAUCAUCCUCCAUAUAUAUAUAUAUUUAACUAACCUUUUUUAUAAUUCAUGAUAUAUACUUGAUCUUGCUAAAUUAUACACACUUUUCAAGAACUACAACUCCAAAACUGAACAUAUUUUGUAGAACUUCGCUAGAAUCCUCAAAUCCUCAAAACAAAACUAGUUUUUGUAACUUUUAGAAUCUAGUAAAAGGGCAAGUUUCCAACUUCGUUGUUCCUAAUACAGAGUUUAUAACAAGAAACACCAAAACCUGGAAGAAUUUUAGUUAUCAAGAAAUAAGAAUCAGAAAGAUGGAAAAAUCUUCUUGGAAGACAGGAAUCGUCAAUGCUUCAUAGCAAAUGGCCUAUGCAUAAAUUAUAUCUUAGUUUAGAUUGAAAACAUUGUGAAACGUUUUGUUGGUCGAUUGCACCAAGUCUCUAAAAUUACAACCCUCAUCAACCAUAACGACUAUGGGCGGGUUAAGAUAACUAAAACGAGACAGAUAAGAGUUUUCUAACAGGAAGACCCCAACCUUCUUACUCUUUGUUCAACUUCUUGACGCUAAUCCUCAUUUCCAACACAUCACCACGCAAUAAACUGUUGGGAAUCAACAUGAAAUUCUCUUGCGGGGUUUGAAAACUCAACUUAAGAACCCUCUUCACCUCUGGUGAUUGGUAAAUCACAGUGUGUCCAUCGACAGUGUAAGAGAGAGCAUAUGAGUACUGACUUAAUUCUGGAGAAGAUGGCGCAAUGCAGCUUACAGUUACAUACACACCAUACGGCUCCCUGAAACACUGCACUGCAAACAAAUGAUUCGUCAAGUGUUCCGUUCUAAUCAAUAUCUUUUUGCUGAUGUUCAUCCGGACACUUAAGGGAAUGUCACAAAUGAACGUAUUAAUCUGGUUUAUUUCCAUAUGGGUAAUACGAUAGUGAGUGUACAGAUCCUUGUAUGAGCUAGUGUAAUUGCAAUCCAAUGCAGGGCAGGCGCAAUGAGAGAACAUGCAUUCCUUUUCAUGAGUUAACUCUUUCCCAUAAGAUACAUUCUUUUUGCAACCUAACUUGGCGUUCGGACACGGG
rnacentral:lncRNA from 1 species